rnacentral:lncRNA from 1 species
UAUUGUAAGGAAUGUAUUUGAAGGUCACGUACCUGGGGAAGUAAACUUUGAUGUAUGUAAAUUAAGUUCGAAUGUAUUAUUAUUUAGUAUUAUUCAGCUUAAAGAAAUGGUAUCGUGGAGAACCGAGUUCGGGUUUCAAGUACCUGGAUUUGGGGUCGCCACACGCGGUCAACAAGUAAUAUAAGAUAAGUAAAGUGUCGUACCCAUAAGGACGAAGUCUUAUAAGCUAAUCAAGUACUAAGGUAAGUGAUAUACUUAAAACAUUAUUGGUGGACUUUUAACAUGGAGAAGAUAAUAGACUUUAUGGUCUAUGUGAUCUUCUAAUGGAUUGCUAUUUCUGCUGAGUUUGUCGAUCUAAAACUUAUUGUCUAAUAUAUUCUAUCAGAUUUUUUCCUGUUGAGGACUAAGGAUAUUUUGUUGUAUAUUAUCUUAGUCAUAAUAUUCUUUACUGGGCUAGUUGAGCUCACCCUUUUCCUUUUUGUUCCAUUUUUCUUCUCAGGAAGCGAGAAUAUAGCAGGAACCAGUCAGGGUAUAGAGUGAUGGUCUUAGACAGUGGUUUUAGCAGUCCUCACUAUUUUGUAAAAUAGUGUAUCAAUAAUUGUAAUGAGGACUAUAUUUGAGUGUGGAUAUUGUCUAGAGGACAAUAUUUAUAUUUAAACUCACAGUAUUUGUGUUGUCGUAUUUUGCACGAUAAUUGUAAUAGUGAUGUUGUAGUAGUUUCUGUACCAUAUAUUUGGCGACUCAGAAUGGGUGAUGUAUACCUAUUUUGGGGGCAUCACAAAAUAGAUUUUAAAAUUUUAAUACAAACCAUCACCAUGACCAUACCCUUGUGGAACCUUGAAUUCACCGGGUCAGAUUUCUUCCUUUGAUCAAUGUUAGCCACACAAGCGUUUGACCUCUAGAGGUGACUCACCAAGGAAGAAUAAGUAUUCAAGAAGAUGAGUGUUUGGC